UACGUAGGCAGCGAGCGUUGUUCGGAGUUACUGGGCGUAAAGGGUGUGUAGGCGGUCCUCUAAGUUUGGUGUGAAAUCUCCCGGCUCAACCGGGAGGGUGCGCCGAAAACUGGAGUGCUCGAGUAUGGGAGAGGUAAGCGGAAUUCCUGGUGUAGCGGUGAAAUGCGUAGAUAUCAGGAGGAACACCUGUGGUGUAGACAGUUUACUGGACCAUCACUGACGCUGAGACACGAAAGCGUGGGUAGCAAACAGG
rnacentral:rRNA from 1 species